rnacentral:tRNA from 1 species
GGUCCGUUGGCCCAAUGGUAAGGCGUCUGACUACGACUACCAGCAGUUAUCAGGAGAUUCUGGGUUCGACCCCCAGGCGGACCU